rnacentral:rRNA from 1 species
UACGAAGGGGGCUAGCGUUGUUCGGAUUUACUGGGCGUAAAGCGCGUGUAGGCGGGUCGUUAAGUUGGGGGUGAAAUCCCGAGGCUCAACCUCGGAACUGCCUUCAAAACUGGCGACCUGGAGCAAAGAAGAGGCGAGUGGAAUUGCGAGUGUAGAGGUGAAAUUCGUAGGUAUUCGCAGGAACACCAGUGGCGAAGGCGACUCGCUGGUCUUUUGCUGACGCUGAGACGCGAAAGCGUGGGGAGCAAACAGG